rnacentral:rRNA from 1 species
GACAGAGGGUGCAAACGUUGUUCGGAAUUACUGGGCGUAAAGCGUGUGUAGGCGGUCCACUAAGUCGGGUGUGAAAGCCCUGGGCUCAACCCAGGAAGUGCACUCGAAACUGGCGGGCUUGAGUAUCGGAGAGGUUGGUGGAAUUCUCGGUGUAGAGGUGAAAUUCGUAGAUAUCGAGAGGAACACCGGUGGCGAAGGCGGCCAACUGGACGAAUACUGACGCUGAGACACGAAAGCUAGGGGAGCAAACGGG